ensembl:snRNA U6 U6 spliceosomal RNA
GCUUUAGCAGAGCACGUACUAGAACUGGAAGGAUACAGAGAUGAGCGCCGCCCCUGCCCAGGGAUGGCACACAAAUUCAUCAGAGAUGAGCACUGCCCCUGCCCAGGGAUGGCACACAAAUUCAUCAAGUGUUCCACAAUUUU